rnacentral:rRNA from 1 species
CGCCCAUUAGCUAGCCAUCCCCAUUAAAAACAACAAACACCCAUCAAUACCCCCUCAAACACUCAAAUAUUACUAAAUAAACCAUUCUUCCUCCCAAGUACGGGCGACAGAAAAG